rnacentral:rRNA from 1 species
GAUGAACGCUGGCGGCGUGCCUAAUACAUGCAAGUCGAGCGAACGGACGAGAAGCUUGCUUCUCUGAUGUUAGCGGCGGACGGGUGAGUAACACGUGGAUAACCUACCUAUAAGACUGGGAUAACUUCGGGAAACCGGAGCUAAUACCGGAUAAUAUUUUGAACCGCAUGGUUCAAAAGUGAAAGACGGUCUUGCUGUCACUUAUAGAUGGAUCCGCGCUGCAUUAGCUAGUUGGUAAGGUAACGGCUUACCAAGGCAACGAUGCAUAGCCGACCUGAGAGGGUGAUCGGCCACACUGGAACUGAGACACGGUCCAGACUCCUACGGGAGGCAGCAGUAGGGAAUCUUCCGCACUGGGCGAAAGCCUGACGGAGCAACGCCGCGUGAGUGAUGAAGGUCUUCGGAUCGUAAAACUCUGUUAUUAGGGAAGAACAUAUGUGUAAGUAACUGUGCACAUCUUGACGGUACCUAAUCAGAAAGCCACGGCUAACUACGUG